rnacentral:lncRNA from 1 species
CCCAUUACUCAUCACUGAUGCGGCAAAGCAAUGACGAGAUGUUGGUUUUCAUCAUGGCGUCAUCUCCUCUUCCAACACUAUGGGCCAUCUCCUGAGCUAUACGCAGCCAUUCAUUUUCCAUUGGCGCUGCUUCAACGGCUUCUCUAUCUGUCCCUGCAUCCAUACUGACGAUCAUGUGGUGUGUUCCUCUGCUUCAUACGAAUGCUAUAUUAGAUUAAACGCCAAGGAGAUUCGAUGCCCAAGGUGAUUUUCGAACUCUGCGAGUUCCAUGCCUUAUAUAGUUCGCUAUGUCGGCAUUCAGCCCACAGUCAACAGCAUUGCUUUGGUGUUUAUUGUAAUAAAGUUCAGUGCAUAUUAACUACAGGUGGAUGGCUACGUGCAUAUUGCUUAGGUUGCUUGUUAGUAGAUAUUUCAUGUAGGCCCACAGAUGAUUAGGCUACUCGUAUAGUUCAGUGAGAGCACCUGGUGGUGUGUCUCUAGGGCGGCUGGAUUCACGGUGCUACUUUGGCAAGAUGGGAAGAUACGUGCACACGUGCAACGAUGAAGCUCACCUUGCCUCAAGUGAGGUUACCCGGUGAUACGUCACGAGGGACAGUCAUAUGUGCCGAGAUGAAGCUCAUCUUGCCUCAAGCGCGGGUACCCGGCGAGCCAGUUCAGAAAGGGAAACCCGAGUGCCCAACCUCAGGAUGACAAAUCAGCUGAGAUUGCAUCAAUUAGAGAGAAAUGUCUUCAGUCUGUUGCUGAUUCACGUGGCCAUGAAGUCAGAAA